GAUGAAGAACGUAGCGAAAUGCGAUAAGUACUGUGAAUUGCAGAAUUCAGUGAAUCAUCGAAUCUUUGAACGCACAUUGCGCCCGGCAGUACUCUGCCGGGCAUGCCUGUUCGAGCGUCAUUUCAACCCUCAAGCCCUGCUUGGUGUUGGGGUCCCACGGCCGCCGUGGGCCCUGAAAGGAAGUGGCGGGCUCGCUACAACUCCGAGCGUAGUAAUUCAUUAUCUCGCUUAGGGCGUUGGGCGGCGCUCCUGCCGUUAAAGAACCAUCUUUAACUCAAGGUUGACCUCGGAUCAGGUAGGAAUACCCGCUGAACUUAAGCAUAUCAAUAAGCGGAGGA
rnacentral:misc_RNA from 1 species